CAGAGGGGGCAAGCGUUGUUCGGAAUUACUGGGCGUAAAGGGGGCGUAGGCGGCCUGUUAAGUCGAACGUGAAAUCCCCGGGCUCAACCCGGGAACUGCGUCCGAUACUGGCAGGCUUGAAUCCGGGAGAGGGAUGCGGAAUUCCAGGUGUAGCGGUGAAAUGCGUAGAUAUCUGGAGGAACACCGGUGGCGAAGGCGGCAUCCUGGACCGGCAUUGACGCUGAGGCGCGAAAGCUAGGGGAGCAAACGGGAUUAGAUACCCCGGUAGUCCUAGCCCUCAACGAUGAAUGCUUGGUGUGGCGGGUAUCGAUCCCUGCCGUGCCGAAGCUAACGCAUUAAGCAUUCCGCCUGGGGAGUACGGUCGCAAGGCUG
rnacentral:rRNA from 1 species